GGGUUGUGCAUUAUUUGGCUGUGCAUUAGUGGCUCCCAAAAUGUCUCGCGAAUAUUUCUAUGUGGUUUGUUCAUCAAUGUUGUUUAAAAUGUAAAAUUGAUAGCUUAUUAUGCAGUGAACUAACGAAGAAGUGUGCAGCUAAUGAAAAACUGAUCUUGAAACGCGUUUGACCAUGUUUUAAUCACCACCCAGCAAUCCAUUGUGGCUUUUAUUAAAGUCCAGGUAUAUUUUUACUAAAAGCAACCAUCGAACAACGUCGCACACUUAAAACUAAUAUACAGAAAAACGUCUUGACACUGACAAAAUCAUCAUGGAUUUGAUGGAGGGCAUAUUUUAAAAGAAGAAGAAGAUAAAAGAAUGAUUCAUUUCGUUGUUAUUAAUUACAUACCAUACAGAUAGCUAAUUACUUACUACUGUAUGUGGUGGAACAGCCAGAAACCUCUCCAGCAGUACCUGGGACGUCCAGACGGAACCAAAAAAUGUUGGUUUGCCGAAACCAAGAAAUUGCAAAUCUGGUGUCCGAGUCGAAUGUCAUCCAGACAAUGUUGGCUCCGAUACUUAGUCUAGAUGGGUGCAAUAGUGCACUCAGAAGAACAUACACUGGAGUACCACAUCGCCGAAGACAUAUAAAUGAUUGGUGUAUCAAUAUACACCUCUGCCUGGUGCCUUAGGACAACACAGUGUUUUUGUCAUCAUUUGUGUUUGUGUGUUUAUAAGUGCAUAUAAUUAUAUUUAGGUAAAGUAAAGUUCAAUAAAAAUAGCAAAUAAUGUAAAUAAACUCAUUUAACUUCAUUCUUCCGUAAAUUUGCUCAUUUUAUAGAUAACUGCGAUCUCAUCAAUAGUGUAUUUAUGUAAAUAUUUUAUUGAAAUAAAUGUUCAUUUGAAAUAUGUGUUAAUUAUUAUUAUAUUUUCAAGUAAACAAUCAUUGUGAAAAUAUUAGAUUAUAUGUGAAAUGCUAACAAAAUCUGUCAUGUUAGUUUACAUUAUUUGUGGUUUUUGUUAAACAUGAUUAGUCCUUUGAAUGUUAAAUAUCUUUAAACAUGUUUUCAGAAGUUGUGUCCAUCAGUGGUACCAAGAACUCUUAAGGCAGUAUGCCACCAGUGUGUCGCACUAAGUAUGCAGCAAAUCAUUUAUACUUUUAUAUAAAGUAAUUUAUUUGAUGAAUUUCCCUCUAAAGUUUUGCCAUUGUUGAUUUAAGUAGUAGGUACUGACUAUAUUGACUGUUGUGAUAAUAAAAUAUAUGCUUGAUAGGUAUGAAAAAAUUGUAUUAUAAAUAAAACUUUUUGUAUAGUAAAAAAUUGAUUUAAUUUUUUUAAUGAUAUAUAUGUAGGGUUUAUAUUUCAUAAAGAAAAAACAGAACCCUUAUAGAAACACUUUGUUGUUUGUCCGUCUGUCCGUUUUAUAAGGAAUUUGUACUGAACCCCUUGUGGUAGUGUCAGACUUGGACCUGUCUGGUUUUUAAUACCUAUCAAAUAAAUCUAUGUAUCUAUUUA